AUCCACACUCUUCAAGGAAGGCCCUUUCAACUUUACAAUCUGUUUCUUGACUAUCGCUUCAAAUGCCAUGUCUGGAGUAAACAACCCUGUCCUGAAGUAAUAAAUUAUUGUUAGCACCCUGGCAUGCGUUGCUGUUCUAACUAUGAAGCAGGCAACAAAAGAGCUGAGAGGACAGCAUUCCCGACAGCAACGUCACAAGAGACAAGGACCCAAAUCUAACAGAACCAGCAACCACAAGAAACCAGCAACCAACUGAUUGCCAUGUGAACUGAUAUGUCAAAGAAGAUAAUGGACAAGGAAGAAACUUUCACAAGU
rnacentral:lncRNA from 1 species